rnacentral:rRNA from 1 species
UACAGAGGUCUCAAGCGUUGUUCGGAUUCAUUGGGCGUAAAGGGUGCGUAGGCGGCGCGGUAAGUCGGGUGUGAAAUCUCGGAGCUUAACUCCGAAACUGCAUUCGAUACUGCCGUGCUUGAGGACUGGAGAGGAGACUGGAAUUUACGGUGUAGCGGUGAAAUGCGUAGACAUCGUAAGGAAGACCAGUGGCGAAGGCGGGUCUCUGGGCCGAUACUGACGCUGAGGAGCGAAAGCGUGGGGAGCGAACAGG